rnacentral:rRNA from 2 species
UUAGGUUAAGUUAUGAAGGGCGCAUGGUGAAUGCCUUGGUACUAGGAGCCGAUGAAGGACGGGACUAACACCGAUAUGCUUCGGGGAGCGGUAAGUACGCUUUGAUCCGGAGAUUUCCGAAUGGGGAAACCUAAUCAGCUUAGUCGCUGAUUACUUGACUAGUGAAUACAUAGCUAGCAAGAGGUAGACGCAGUGAACUGAAACAUCUUAGUAGCUGCAGGAAGAGAAAGAAACAUCGAUUCCCUGAGUAGCGGCGAGCGAAAAGGGAAGAGCCCAAACCAACAAGCUUGCUUGUUGGGGUUGUAGGACUGAACAUUAGAGUUACCAAAGUGCGACGUAGUCGCAACAGUUGGGAAGCUGUGCCAUAGAGGGUGAAAGCCCCGUAGACGAAACGUCACACUCUCUGUUCAGGAUCCUGAGUACGGCGGGACACGUGAAACCCCGUCGGAACCCGCGAGGACCAUCUCGCAAGGCUAAAUACUCCCUAGUGACCGAUAGUGAACCAGUACCGUGAGGGAAAGGUGAAAAGCACCCCGGAAGGGGAGUGAAAUAGUUCCUGAAACCAUGUGCCUACAAGCUGUCGGAGCCCGUUAAUGGGUGACGGCGUGCCUCUUGCAGAAUGAACCGGCGAGUUACGAUUGCAUGCAAGGUUAAGGUGGAAAAACCGGAGCCGUAGCGAAAGCGAGUCUUAAAUGGGCGUAAGAAGUAUGUAGUUGUAGACCCGAAACCAGGUGACCUACCCAUGUCCAGGUUGAAGGUGCGGUAAAGCGCACUGGAGGACCGAACCCGUGUCAGUUGAAAAUGGCUGGGAUGAGGUGUGGGUAGCGGUGAAAUUCCAAACGAACUUGGAGAUAGCUGGUUCUCUCCGAAAUCUCUUUAGGGGGAGCCUUGAGGUAAAGAAUCGUGGAGGUAGAGCUACUGUUUGGACAAGGGGCCCGUCAUGGGUUACCAACUUCAGAUAAACUCCGAAUGCCAUCGAUUUAUACUCAGGAGUCAGACGAUGAGUGAUAAGAUCCACCGUCGAAAGGGGAACAGCCCAGAUCACCAGUUAAGGUCCCUAAAUAUAUGCUAAGUGGAAAAGGAUGUGGAGUUGCAUAGACAACUAGGAUGUUGGCUUAGAAGCAGCCACCAUUUAAAGAGUGCGUAAUAGCUCACUAGUCGAGUGAUCCUGCGCCGAAAAUGUACCGGGGCUAAGCAUAUUACCGAAACUGUGGAUGUGCACUAUGUGCACGUGAUAGGAGAGCGUUCUAAGGGCGGCGAAGUCAGACCGUGAGGACUGGUGGAGCGCUUAGAAGUGAGAAUGCCGGUAUGAGUAGCGAAAGACAGGUGAGAAUCCUGUCCACCGAAUGACUAAGGUUUCCUGGGGAAGGCUCGUCCUCCCAGGGUAAGUCGGGACCUAAGCCGAGGCCGAGAGGCGUAGGCGAUGGAUAACAGGUUGAGAUUCCUGUACCAGUUAACUGCGUUUGACGAUGGAGGGACGCAGGAGGCUAAGCAAACCGUACGACUGGAAGAGUACGGCCAAGCAGUAAGUCAGGAUGUGAGUCAAAUGUUUACAUCCGCGUUGACAAGCUGUGAUGGGGAGCGAAAUUAAAGUAGCGAAGUUGCCGAUGUCACACUGCCGAGAAAAGCUUCUAAGGAGUAGUUAACUGCCCGUACCGCAAACCGACACAGGUAGUCGAGGAGAGAAUCCUAAGGUGAGCGAGAGAACUCUCGUUAAGGAACUCGGCAAAAUGACCCCGUAACUUCGGGAGAAGGGGUGCUGGCCGCAAGGCCAGCCGCAGUGAAUAGGCCCAGGCGACUGUUUAUCAAAAACACAGGUUUCUGCAAAAUCGUAAGAUGAAGUAUAGGGGCUGACGCCUGCCCGGUGCUGGAAGGUUAAAAGGAUGGGUUAGCUUCGGCGAAGCUCAGAAUUGAAGCCCCAGUAAACGGCGGCCGUAACUAUAACGGUCCUAAGGUAGCGAAAUUCCUUGUCGGGUAAGUUCCGACCCGCACGAAAGGCGUAACGA